CUGAUUCGGACAAAUUACGUUUUGAAUUGCAAAAGCAAUUUUAUCCUUGAUAAUGCUUUCGAACAAUUUAGCAACCGUUGGGUUGGUCUUUAUAUUGCUUUCGAAGUUCCUGAUAUAUUUCUUACGAAGCGACUUAUCAAGAUUUUUAAACUCAG